GAACAUAAUUCUCGAAAUGGAGGAGUUUCAAUUGGUGUUCCUGGAGAUGACAAGAAAGAUCAUUCAAGGGAAGAUGAUUUGUUGCGAGAGAGUUGGAUGCCGGCGCGGACGAUCCUCUCAAUGGACUCAUUGCAACAUCACAAAGACACAGGCAACGGUGCUACUGCUGAUGGCAGAGAGGAGAUCAACGGCAAGGGAGGCAAGGGAAAAACUGAGGGUCAAAGAGGGUUUACAACUAGGUAUAAAGCUUCAUGAGGACUCAUCUUCUUGGGAUGGAAGAUGAUCAGUUACUGGUGCUUGUGAAUAUCUGCGGAAGUACAGUAGCCUGUAGCUUUGUAGGCGUUGAACUAAAUACCAAUCCAAGUAGGAGCGAAAGGAAGAUAAU